rnacentral:tRNA from 1 species
GCCGACUUGUGUAGUGGGUAGUGACCCUGACUGCUAAGCUGAAGGUCCCGGGUUCGAUUCCCGGCUGGGGCA